AAUAAAGCGAUUCUUAAAAAGUUACUUUCAGGUAGCUUCUUUGGACAUUUUGGCGUUGUUUUGUAAGAUAUUCACCAAAUGUUCCGUGUUUGUUUCCUAAGGAUUUGUAGGAUAAAGGGCAUUAAAAUACAUGCAAAGCUAUUGUUUAAUAAGAAUUUGAUUAAAUACCUAUGAAUUUUUCAAAAAAGUUAAAUCUACAGAAGAGUAAGUUGUGUAAACAUUAAUAACACCCCUAACAUUAUUGCAAAGAUGUGUGACGAGUAUGAACUGUUUGAGUUUUUGGAAAGUGAUUUCAACGAAUCCAGAAUGGCAAAUAAAAAGAAACGUUUAAGGAACAGAGAAAAUAAUGAUCCUUUUGACUUAGAUGAAAAUGCUUUCAUCAAGGAGUACAGGUUAACCGCAGACUUGGUGCACAAACUUUGUGAAGAGCUGGAGCCAAUAAUGGCAAAAAGCUCUAAAAGAGCAACUGAUUUAAGCAUAGAAGCAAAGAUUUUUCAAUAAAUUUGGUAUCCCUGGUGUGAUUGGAUGUAUUGAUUGUACCCAUGUUCGCAUAGUAAGGCCUAAUGAGCAUGAAGAUAGAUAUUUCUGUAGAAAGAAAUUCCAUUCUCUAAAUGUUCAGUUGAUUUGUGAUGCGGAUCAACAAAUUCUAAGUGUUGAUGCGAGUCAUCCAGGGUCAUUUCAUGACUCAUUUAUAUGGAGCCACCAUCCUGUACGUUACCAUUUGGAAAAUUUAGGGUCUGAAGCAACAUGGCUUUUAGGUGACUCUGGGUACUCACAACGAAGAACGAUGAUGACACCUAUUUUGGAUGCAGAACCGUCUGGUUAUAUGUGCUUCCGGUGUGUCUAC
rnacentral:misc_RNA from 1 species